rnacentral:rRNA from 1 species
UACGGAGGGUGCUAGCGUUAUCCGGAAUUACUGGGUUUAAAGGGUGCGUAGGCGGCAACGUAAGUCAGAAGUGAAAUCUCUCGGCUUAACUGAGGAACUGCUUUUGAUACUGCGUAGCUUGAAUAAGGUUGAGGUCAGCGGAAUGUGGCAUGUAGCGGUGAAAUGCUUAGAUAUGCCAUAGAACACCAAUUGCGAAGGCAGCUGGCUAGACCUUUAUUGACGCUGAGGAACGAAAGCGUGGGGAGCGAACAGG